rnacentral:rRNA from 1 species
AUGAAGGACGUUACUAACGACGAUAUGCUUUGGGGAGCUGUAAGUAAGCUUUGAUCCAGAGAUUUCCGAAUGGGGAAACCCAGCAUGAGUUAUGUCAUGUUAUCGAUAUGUGAAUACAUAGCAUAUCAGAAGGCACACCCGGAGAACUGAAACAUCUUAGUACCCGGAGGAAGAGAAAGAAAAUUCGAUUCCCUUAGUAGCGGCGAGCGAAACGGGAAGAGCCCAAACCAACAAGCUUGCUUGUUGGGGUUGUAGGACACUCUAUACGGAGUUACAAAGGACGACAUUAGACGAAUCAUCUGGAAAGAUGAAUCAAAGAAGGUAAUAAUCCUGUAGUCGAAAAUGUUGUCUCUCUUGAGUGGAUCCUGAGUACGACGGAGCACGUGAAAUUCCGUCGGAAUCUGGGAGGACCAUCUCCUAAGGCUAAAUACUCUCUAGUGACCGAUAGUGAACCAGUACCGUGAGGGAAAGGUGAAAAGCACCCCGGAAGGGGAGUGAAAUAGAACCUGAAACCGUGUGCUUACAAGUAGUCAGAGCCCGUUAAUGGGUGAUGGCGUGCCUUUUGUAGAAUGAACCGGCGAGUUACGAUUUGAUGCAAGGUUAAGCAGUAAAUGUGGAGCCGUAGCGAAAGCGAGUCUGAAUAGGGCGUUUAGUAUUUGGUCGUAGACCCGAAACCAGGUGAUCUACCCUUGGUCAGGUUGAAGUUCAGGUAACACUGAAUGGAGGACCGAACCGACUUACGUUGAAAAGUGAGCGGAUGAACUGAGGGUAGCGGAGAAAUUCCAAUCGAACCUGGAGAUAGCUGGUUCUCUCCGAAAUAGCUUUAGGGCUAGCCUCAAGUGAUGAUUAUUGGAGGUAGAGCACUGUUUGGACGAGGGGCCCCUCUCGGGUUACCGAAUUCAGACAAACUCCGAAUGCCAAUUAAUUUAACUUGGGAGUCAGAACAUGGGUGAUAAGGUCCGUGUUCGAAAGGGAAACAGCCCAGACCACCAGCUAAGGUCCCAAAAUAUAUGUUAAGUGGAAAAGGAUGUGGCGUUGCCCAGACAACUAGGAUGUUGGCUUAGAAGCAGCCAUCAUUUAAAGAGUGCGUAAUAGCUCACUAGUCGAGUGACACUGCGCCGAAAAUGUACCGGGGCUAAACAUAUUACCGAAGCUGUGGAUUGUCCUUUGGACAAUGGUAGGAGAGCGUUCUAAGGGCGUUGAAGCAUGAUCGUAAGGACAUGUGGAGCGCUUAGAAGUGAGAAUGCCGGUGUGAGUAGCGAAAGACGGGUGAGAAUCCCGUCCACCGAUUGACUAAGGUUUCCAGAGGAAGGCUCGUCCGCUCUGGGUUAGUCGGGUCCUAAGCUGAGGCCGACAGGCGUAGGCGAUGGAUAACAGGUUGAUAUUCCUGUACCACCUAUAAUCGUUUUAAUCGAUGGGGGGACGCAGUAGGAUAGGCGAAGCGUGCGAUUGGAUUGCACGUCUAAGCAGUAAGGCUGAGUAUUAGGCAAAUCCGGUACUCGUUAAGGCUGAGCUGUGAUGGGGAGAAGACAUUGAGUCUUCGAGUCGUUGAUUUCACACUGCCGAGAAAAGCCUCUAGAUAGAAAAUAGGUGCCCGUACCGCAAACCGACACAGGUAGUCAAGAUGAGAAUUCUAAGGUGAGCGAGCGAACUCUCGUUAAGGAACUCGGCAAAAUGACCCCGUAACUUCGGGAGAAGGGGUGCUCUUUAGGGUUAACGCCCAGAAGAGCCGCAGUGAAUAGGCCCAAGCGACUGUUUAUCAAAAACACAGGUCUCUGCUAAACCGUAAGGUGAUGUAUAGGGGCUGACGCCUGCCCGGUGCUGGAAGGUUAAGAGGAGUGGUUAGCUUCUGCGAAGCUACGAAUCGAAGCCCCAGUAAACGGCGGCCGUAACUAUAACGGUCCUAAGGUAGCGAAAUUCCUUGUCGGGUAAGUUCCGACCCGCACGAAAGGCGUAACGAUUUGGGCACUGUCUCAACGAGAGACUCGGUGAAAUCAUAGUACCUGUGAAGAUGCAGGUUACCCGCGACAGGACGGAAAGACCCCGUGGAGCUUUACUGUAGCCUGAUAUUGAAAUUCGGCACAGCUUGUACAGGAUAGGUAGGAGCCUUUGAAACGUGAGCGCUAGCUUACGUGGAGGCGCUGGUGGGAUACUACCCUAGCUGUGUUGGCUUUCUAACCCGCACCACUUAUCGUGGUGGGAGACAGUGUC